rfam:Pteropus alecto contig169618, whole genome shotgun sequence.
ACCCUUUAGUUCCCUUCCCAUUGGAUCUGAACACCGGUCUUGGUCAUAAAAGUAGAAAAAGCAAUACUAAAGCUGGCCUCACAGUGUUUGUGGUCUAUUAUGUAGCAUGUGGGCUAGUUUCAAAAAGGG